rnacentral:lncRNA from 1 species
UUUUUUUCACUUUUUAUAGAAAUUAAAUAGAAAUAGGCCAUAUUUUUAGAUUUGGUUCCAGCCCAAUAAUAACUAGGACCGGCUCUGACUGCAUGUAUUGUGAUCUGCUGGAGAAAACAACUUCCUUUUAAAGUAUUUAUAGUGACUACUUUAUGUUCCUACUGCAUCAUUUGGCUUCAGGGUGAGCCUUCUCAAGACGGUAGUGUUCCCCCUAAAGCUGAUAGUGAAAUGGAAGUCCUGGAUGAGAAAGUCAGUAAGCAGAUCUUAAAGGAAAGUCACGAUUCCAAGCCAUCCAAGUACUUGACAAUGGACAUGCUUGGUAAGUACCCUUGGCUCUCAUGCUCUUAUUGGUUUAUAUUCUUUUGUGGUGGAAUGUACUUACAAUGUUACCACUUGUUCGGGAUUCUCCAUCUGACCAAUACUGCAUUGGAUCAUGGUGCACUAUAGGGCAUUGAGGAUACAUGGCAAGAACAGGAACCUAUUGAAAUGGUUCUAGGAAAAGGUAUGUGGCUAUCCAUUAUGUACUCUAAACAUCCCUCUCGUUGUGGUGGAUGCAUCAUCAUUGGUAGAUUGCAAGACUUAGAAAAAAAAAGGCCGGUUUGGCCAUCCGUGUUUCUAGCUUUAACAAAUUCAACUAUAAGAGACCAAAUUAAAA